UACGCAGGGGUCUAGCGUUGUACGGAAUCACUGGGCGUAAAGCGCACGUAGGCGGAUUUGUUAGUCAGGGGUGAAAUCCCGGGGCUCAACCUCGGAACUGCCUUUGAUACUGCAGAUCUCGAGUCCGGAAGAGGUGAGUGGAAUUCCUAGUGUAGAGGUGAAAUUCGUAGAUAUUAGGAAGAACACCAGUGGCGAAGGCGGCUCACUGGUCCGGUACUGACGCUGAGGUGCGAAAGCGUGGGGAGCAAACAGG
rnacentral:rRNA from 1 species